rnacentral:rRNA from 1 species
AUCAACUUUCGAUGGUAGGAUAGAGGCCUACCAUGGUGGUAACGGGUAACGGGGUGUUAGGGCACGACACCGGAGAGGGAGCCUGAGAAACGGCUACCACAUCCAAGGAUGGCAGCAGGCGCGCAAAUUACCCAAUCCCGACACGGGGAGGUAGUGACAAUAAAUAACGAUACGGGGUUCUUUAGGAUCUCGUAAUUGGAAUGAGUACAAUUUAAAUCUCUUAACGAGGAACAAUUGGAGGGCAAGUCUGGUGCCAGCAGCCGCGGUAAUUCUAGCUCCAAUAGCGUAUAUUAAAGUUGUUGCAGUUAAAAAGCUCGUAGUUGAAUUUCGGGGUUAGUAGGUUGGUCAUGCCUCUGGUAUGUACUGAUCUCACUGAUUCCUCCUUCCUUAUGAACCGUAAUGCCAUUAAUUUGGUGUUGCGGGGAAUUUGGACUGUUACUUUGAAAAAAUUAGAGUGUUUAAAGCAGGCUAACGCUUGAAUACAUUAGCAUGGAAUAAUGAAAUAGGGCGUUCGAUCUUAUUUUGUUGGUUUCUAGGAUUGACGUAAUGAUUAAUAGGGAUAGUUGGGGGCAUUAGUAUUCAAUUGUCAGAGGUGAAAUUCUUGGAUUUAUUGAAGACUAACUACUGCGAAAGCAUUUGCCAAGGAUGUUUUCAUUAAUCAAGAACGAAAGUUAGGGGAUCGAAGACGAUCAGAUACCGUCGUAGUCUUAACCAUAAACUAUGCCGACUAGGGAUCGGAUGAUGUUAAUUUUUUAAUGACUCAUUCGGCGCCUUACNGGAAACCAAAGUGUUUGGGUUC